rnacentral:misc_RNA from 1 species
GAUGAAGAACGCAGCGAAAUGCGAUAAGUAAUGUGAAUUGCAGAAUUCAGUGAAUCAUCGAAUCUUUGAACGCACCUUGCACCCUUUGGUAUUCCGAAGGGUAUGCUCGUUUGAGUGUCAUUGUACUCUCACACUUCUAAUUCCUUUCGGGAUUUGGAGCGGUGGACUUGGGUGUUGCUGCUUUAGUUGUGGCUCACCUCAAAUAAGUUAGUGCAACUCUUGGUUGGACAUAGUACGGCGUGAUAAGUGUCUUCGCCGGCGCCUCUGUAAGGAGGGUGGCCGAUCGGGAGCUCUGUGCUUCAAACCGUCUUCGGACAAUCUUUGACAACUUGACCUCAAAUCGAGUAGGACUACCCGCUGAACUUAAGCAUAUCAAUAAGCGGAGGA